UACGUAGGGUGCGAGCGUUAAUCGGAAUUACUGGGCGUAAAGCGUGCGCAGGCGGUUAUGUAAGACAGAUGUGAAAUCCCAGGGCUCAACCUUGGAACUGCAUUUGUGACUGCAUAGCUAGAGUACGGUAGAGGGGGAUGGAAUUCCGCGUGUAGCAGUGAAAUGCGUAGAUAUGCGGAGGAACACCGAUGGCGAAGGCAUCCCCUGGACCUGUACUGACGCUCAUGCACGAAAGCGUGGG
rnacentral:rRNA from 1 species